rnacentral:piRNA from 1 species
GAGGGAGAGAGAAAGGACGGGAGAUGAG